rnacentral:rRNA from 1 species
GACGAACGCUGGCGGCGUGCCUAAUACAUGCAAGUCGAACGCACUCUCGUUUAGAUUGAAGGAGCUUGCUCCUGAUUGAUAAACAUUUGAGUGAGUGGCGGACGGGUGAGUAACACGUGGGUAACCUGCCCUAAAGUGGGGGAUAACAUUUGGAAACAGAUGCUAAUACCGCAUAAAACCUAACACCGCAUGGUGUAGGGUUGAAAGAUGGUUUCGGCUAUCACUUUAGGAUGGACCCGCGGUGCAUUAGUUAGUUGGUGAGGUAAAGGCUCACCAAGACCGUGAUGCAUAGCCGACCUGAGAGGGUAAUCGGCCACACUGGGACUGAGACACGGCCCAGACUCCUACGGGAGGCAGCAGUAGGGAAUCUUCCACAAUGGACGAAAGUCUGACGGAGCAACGCCGCGUGAGUGAAGAAGGUUUUCGGAUCGUAAAACUCUGUUGUUGGAGAAGAAUGUAUCUGAUAGUAACUGAUCAGGUAGUGACGGUAUCCAACCAGAAAGCCACGG